UCUACCCACGACCACCUCUAGCCAGGACCACCUCUACCCACGACCACCUCUACCCAGGACCACCUCUACCCAGGACCACCUCUACCCAGGACCACCUCCACCCACCUCUACCCACGACCACUUCUAGCCAGGACCACCUCUACCCACGACCACCUCUACCCGGGACCACCUCUGCCUCAAUAACAGGACAGAGGGUUUGCUUCAGUCAGGUGACCAUCGGGUUCCCAGGACUCUGCAGGUCACACGUCUGGCGAUGAGGCUGCUGAUGACAUCAUCACGUUGCACACUCACAGACAUCCGUCCGUCAGGAGCUCCGAGACGAAGCUCACUGAUUUGCUCUUCAGACAAAUUACCACAAAACAGCGGCCUCUCAAAUAUCUAAAUGUAUAUCAAUAAGUGAGAGAGCUUGACCUUCAACACAAUGGACAGUUCACGGGGUGAAGAAAGAGACGGAUGGCACAUGGGGCCUGUUGUUGUUGUUGUUGUUGUUGUUUGUGUGAACUGAGCCUUUAAUUCUUAAAAGUAAAUGACUUUCUAAAAAGGAGACUCCACACUGAGGAUGUGUUAGUGUUAGGAGGGGGGGGGGCUCCAAACUCUCAAACAGUGACGAAAAGCAGAAGUCGCUUUCGGAGGAUUUGAUCUCGUUAUCCCAAUUUUUGAUUUGAUUUUCUCCAAAACCAUGUUCUGUUGUCUUGAUGAGAGCUGACCUCGGCGCGACCCCUCGGCCAGCAGAGAGCAAGGUUCUUACACAUCUCAUACGAAUGGACUUUGUUCUCCUGGAGGACGAGAGGCACCUAGUGCCGCACCCAGUGCGCCCACAUUUACCAGCAUGCCAUUUCUAAUGGAGGCCGCAUGGUGUUCUUCACGCUGACAGCCGGGUGAAGAGGAGGAAGAUGAGGAAGAGGAGGCUGCGCCUUCAUGCUGCUCAGAAGCAACCAGCCUGCAUUACGACAACCACACCAGGAAUGCAUCCUCAUGAAAUGUAAAACCUUUGUUCACAAGUUGCAAUAAAGUAAAAUAAAAUGAA